rnacentral:rRNA from 1 species
AUUGAACGCUGGCGGCAGGCCUAACACAUGCAAGUCGAACGAGUGGCGGACGGGUGAGUAAUGUCUGGGAAACUGCCCGAUGGAGGGGGAUAACUACUGGAAACGGUAGCUAAUACCGCAUACCAUCGGAUGUGCCCAGAUGGGAUUAGCUAGGAGGUGGGGUAACGGCUCACCUAGGCGACGAUCCCUAGAUGGUCUGAGUGGAUGACCAGCACCACUAGAACUGAGACACGGUCCAGACUCCUAUGGGAGGCAGCAGUGGGGAAUAUUGCAUUAGGGGAGCAAGGCUGAUGCGGCCAUGCCGCGUGUAUGAAGAAGGCCUUCGGGUUGUAAAGUACUUUCAGCGAGGAGGCGUUACUCGCAGAAGAAGCACCGGCUAACUCCGUGCCAGCAGCCGCGGUAAUAC